UACGUAGGGGGCAAGCGUUGUUCGGAAUUACUGGGCGUAAAGGGCGCGUAGGCGGCACGGCAAGUCAGGAGUGAAAGCCCGGGGCUCAACCCCGGAAUGUCUUUUGAAACUGCCGAGCUAGAGUGCGGAAGAGGCAACUGGAAUUCCCAGUGUAGCGGUGAAAUGCGUAGAUAUCGGGAGGAAUACCAGUGGCGAAGGCGGCUGCCUGGCCUGUUCUUGACGCUGAGGCGCGAAAGCUGGGGGAGCAAACGGG
rnacentral:rRNA from 1 species